GGUACCCGUGGUUCACGAGGUGCGGGAUGACGUAGGGGGUGUGAGUGGUGCGGAAUCACGUGGGUGAGAGGGUGCGUAGGCGGUCCGGUAAGUCUGUGUGGAAAUCCGUGGGGUCAACUGAGGAAUGGGAGUGGAAACUGGCGGGCUGGAGGACCGGAGAGGGAAGCGGAAUUCCUGGGGGAGCGGUGAAAUGCGUAGAUACCAGGAGGAAAACCGGUGGCGAAGGCGGCUUCCUGGCCGAGUACUGACGCUGAGGCACGAAAGCGUGGGGAGCGAACGGGAUUAGAUACCCCAGUAGUC
rnacentral:rRNA from 1 species